rnacentral:rRNA from 1 species
AGAGUUUGAUCAUGGCUCAGAUUGAACACUGGCGGCAUGCUUUACACAUGCAAGUCGAGCGGCAGCGCGGGGCAACCCUGGCGGCGAGCGGCGAACGGGUGAGGAAUACAUCGGAACGUGCCCGAGAGUGGGGAUAACGCCGCGAAAGCGGCGCUAAUACCGCAUAUUCUCUGAGGAGGAAAUGGGGACCGCAAGGCCUCACGCUCACGGAGCGGCCGAUGUCGGAUUAGCUAGUUGGUGGGGUAAAGGCUUACCAAGGCGACGAUCCGUAGCUGGUCUGAGAGGAUGAUCAGCCACACUGGGACUGAGACACGGCCCAGACUCCUACGGGAGGCAGCAGUGGGGAAUUUUGGACAAUGGGGCAACCCUGAUCCAGCCAUGCCGCGUGCGGGAAGAAGGCCUUCGGGUUGUAAACCGCUUUUAACCGGGAAGAAAAGGCAUCUCUUAAUACGGGGUGUUCUUGACGGUACCGGUGGAACAAGCACCGGCUAACUACGUG